rnacentral:rRNA from 1 species
UUGAAGAGUUUGAUCAUGGCUCAGAUUGAACGCUGGCGGCAGGCCUAACACAUGCAAGUCGAGCGGUAGCACAGAGAGCUUGCUCUCGGGUGACGAGCGGCGGACGGGUGAGUAAUGUCUGGGAAACUGCCUGAUGGAGGGGGAUAACUACUGGAAACGGUAGCUAAUACCGCAUAACGUCGCAAGACCAAAGUGGGGGACCUUCGGGCCUCAUGCCAUCAGAUGUGCCCAGAUGGGAUUAGCUAGUAGGUGGGGUAACGGCUCACCUAGGCGACGAUCCCUAGCUGGUCUGAGAGGAUGACCAGCCACACUGGAACUGAGACACGGUCCAGACUCCUACGGGAGGCAGCAGUGGGGAAUAUUGCACAAUGGGCGCAAGCCUGAUGCAGCCAUGCCGCGUGUGUGAAGAAGGCCUUCGGGUUGUAAAGCACUUUCAGCGGGGAGGAAGGCGUUAAGGUUAAUAACCUUGGCGAUUGACGUUACCCGCAGAAGAAGCACCGGCUAACUCCGUGCCAGCAGCCGCGGUAAUACGGAGGGUGCAAGCGUUAAUCGGAAUUACUGGGCGUAAAGCGCACGCAGGCGGUCUGUCAAGUCGGAUGUGAAAUCCCCGGGCUCAACCGGGAACUGCAUUCGAAACUGGCAGGCUAGAGUCUUGUAGAGGGGUAGAAUUCCAGGUGUAGCGGUGAAAUGCGUAGAGAUCUGGAGGAAUACCGGUGGCGAAGGCGGCCCCCUGGACAAAGACUGACGCUCAGGUGCGAAAGCGUGGGGAGCAAACAGGAUUAGAUACCCUGGUAGUCCACGCCGUAAACGAUGUCGAUUUGGAGGUUGUGCCCUUGAGGCGUGGCUUCCGGAGCUAACGCGUUAAAUCGACCGCCUGGGGAGUACGGCCGCAAGGUUAAAACUCAAAUGAAUUGACGGGGGCCCGCACAAGCGGUGGAGCAUGUGGUUUAAUUCGAUGCAACGCGAAGAACCUUACCUGGUCUUGACAUCCACAGAACUUAGCAGAGAUGCUUUGGUGCCUUCGGGAACUGUGAGACAGGUGCUGCAUGGCUGUCGUCAGCUCGUGUUGUGAAAUGUUGGGUUAAGUCCCGCAACGAGCGCAACCCUUAUCCUUUGUUGCCAGCGGUUAGGCCGGGAACUCAAAGGAGACUGCCAGUGAUAAACUGGAGGAAGGUGGGGAUGACGUCAAGUCAUCAUGGCCCUUACGACCAGGGCUACACACGUGCUACAAUGGCAUAUACAAAGAGAAGCGACCUCGCGAGAGCAAGCGGACCUCAUAAAGUAUGUCGUAGUCCGGAUUGAGUCUGCAACUCGACUCCAUGAAGUCGGAAUCGCUAGUAAUCGUGAUCAGAAUGCUACGGUGAAUACGUUCCCGGGCCUUGUACACACCGCCCGUCACACCAUGGGAGUGGGUUGCAAAAGAAGUAGGUAGCUUAACCUUCGGGAGGGCGCUUACCACUUUGUGAUUCAUGACUGGGGUGAAGUCGUAACAAGGUAACCGUAGGGGAACCUGCGGUUGGAUCACCUCCUU